rnacentral:lncRNA from 1 species
GUCUGUCCGUUAGGGCUGAGAUCAUCCUCCUCUCAUCCUCAAAGGGGCUGCAAUGCACAUUUCAAAGUAAGUGCAGGGAGCACAACAGCCUUGUCCACCCCUGGGUGUGCCAACUCAACCGUUGUGUAUGUGGUAAUAGGUCUUGUAUGAAAGAAGCUAACUGGGUUAGUCCCUCUGGCACAGAUCCGUCAGCUGUGUUGGUGAAUGCUGCCUGGCAGGUAGGGCCUUGUUGACUGUCCAACUGGGACUCUCUAAUGGAGUUCCCCGCAGCAUCGACUGUGGUGCUACCACGGCCACUGACGCAAGCCGUCGCAGCGGUCAGCUGCCAAAGGACAUCAUCCAUCUCCAACCUCCGUCAGGACCGAGCGUCUCCUGAGAGAUAGAGAGAGCGAGAAAGUUAGUCAUGGAUCAGAAGACAAAUGAGGUGUGUAAAACUCUGAUAUGCAAACUGCUUCUUUCAUUCUGGCAUUGUUUAAUACGGGCAUCCAUCUCUCCAGAAUCCCAACUCCACCUCCCCUCAGAAGCACAUGAAGAACAGGUCCAAAUCAACAGAGGAGAUGCAACACUCGAAGAAGGUGAGCAGCAGUCAGACAUCCAGAUUUGCAGAGUAUUUCUAAUCCGAUGUGUUCUGACUGCCCUGUGUUAUCCCACAGGCCUUUUCCUCACAAAAAUCCCUCCCAGGCCGACCAGAGCUGGACAGAGUGAAGGAGUGUCCUGAUGGCUCUGACACGCCCCCGUCCUCCACUGAAGAAGAGAAGUGAUAAAUAAAAGGAUCACUGGGACAAUAGAGCUGCCAUCAAGCAACAACAUCAUCAUACAACAACAUGACACGUACAUUAAAAUGUACAUAUGCAAACAAAGAAACAUAGAAAAUAUUGAGGAUAACAGUGAACUAAAUUAGAAAAUAUACAAGUGGCGAACAGAUGAUUGGUUGAAAGAAACUGUUGAAAAUAAUGGUUACUUGAACGCACGCAUGCACACACACACACGCACGCACGCACGCACGCACGCACACACCCACACACACACCCACACACACACAUACACACACACACACACACACACACACAAUCUGAGACAAUCGCAUGCAAACAAAAGGACACCCAUGAUGAUGCUGUUUCAUUGUACUGUACUCUGAGAGUCAUUAACAUACCAGACUGAACAAGUAUUGACAAUAAAGUGAUUUCUCAUCUAUUCUCAUUCACACCAGUAAUCAAAUUCCUCCUCCGCCUGCAAAUACCAGAUGUAAUGACAA